AUCUGCUUGGUUUGGUCGUCACUCAUCACCUUAGUCCGAAGCUAGCACAAAACAUACCAGAAUUAUUUACCUUGAUUUUUUCAAAAUCAUUACAUUUCCUCUGAACAUUUGCCACGAAACAAGUCCAGGCACAGAGGAAAUGUACAGGGUGAGAAUUUGUGGCGCUGUCUCGCUGUCACUGUAGCCUUCUCCCCUGUUCGUCCUCUCUUCCCCCCAAAAGGCCACGAGCACAGGCUGUCCUUGUGAGCUCCUCCUCCAACCUCCUAAAGAAUUGAGCAGGAGGGGGGCGGAGUAAUGGAGGCAUCAAUGCCGCUUGCGGAGUACGCCCCCACCUUUCCGUGUGGUGCUUCAUCCAUCGCCUCCGGCUCCGCGAAGCAAGUUGACUUGUAGACAUGGAUUUGGGAUCUCUGGUUUGCGCUUCAGAUCUGACCGGCUUCUCGCCGCCCUCCUGUCACUGUAAUCUUUCGUCAGAGUUUUGACUGGCGAGGCUGCCAUCUCUUUACUACUGGUUUAACAGUGUGCUAAUGAGGCAGGUAAAUGGAAGAUUUGUCUACAUCUCUUCAGACGUCAGAUGGAUUAAGAUCGCUACCCUGUGUAGGAUAAGAGAUUUCAGUAAUGCCUUUUGAGCUAAGGUGUUACUAUCCAGUCUUCGUCAGUCCAAUAUUUGAGUUAAGCUCAUUUUCAAGUUAUCAAAGGAUGCUUAACAAAUGCAAUCAGCUUUUAACUCGAAUAUUGUGGAGGUGCCUCCCCUCCGCAUUGGGUGAAUGGGUGGAUGAUUGAGCAAGGCUGCUUCAGCUUCAGCUCCAAACAAAAAGAAGAAACAGGCAGGUUCAAUAUGGAAUUGUCCAAUUCCAUUGUCCUCUCUGCUGCGCUGCACACUCGCAUAAACAAAAAAAAGCUUGGAGUCAGUAUUAUAUGUAUGUUGGGACUAGGGUCGCCACCUGCUUAAUUUCAGGUUUGGGCCCAUCCAUCCAGCAUCAUUAGUCCAUGGCAUUCAAACUCACGUACUGCUACUUGACAGUUUCCUUCAUUUUGUUUUGCUCAACAGCAUGUACUACCACUGUAUAAACUACUAGGCGUGCAUCUGAUCAGGCACUAGAAAUCAAGGGAGUUACAUGGGUAACUGAAACUAGUGAGAUGCUAGUGCUUGUUGCCAUUGCUGGCAUGGGGCACUGUGGCCAUUCACAUUCACCAAAUCCCAGAUGAGCCAAACAAAUAGGGCCCUCCUCCUUGUUCUAAACAAGCAAUGAGAGAACGACAUUGCUUUCAUCACCCACUAACUGCUCAAGCAAAUUGCUCCACCAAUUUGCCUGGAUGCACUUUCUGGGGAAUUGCCGACUGAAAAGCUAGGGCAGAUUUUGGGGACAAUUCAGUUGAGGAAUAAAGAGAACCACCAUAUCAAAACGACAGGCUUACAUAUAGCAUACUGAUGAAGAUUCAUGAAAAUUUAUUCUUGUUUUGCACUCUACAUUGAUCCUUGGUCCAGCUGGUCAUUAAGAUAUGGAUUGGCACGGUCCAAGAUAUAGCCCUGCUCAGAUUCCCUGAUAAAAUAAUGCUUUGCGGUUGGGUCCGAUCCAAGUUGUUUAUGCAGGUCUAGAACUCAUGAUUUCGUGAGCUCUGAGGGUACUAACCUGAGUUUAAUGCAGCAAUCAUCUCGCCCCCGAAAGAGUGAGCAUAUAUUUCUACUCACAGAAUUUUGUUGCUACCGUUGGACCUUGAAAUAUACUGUUUCUGAAGCUUUUUGGAAACCCUGACAUGAUGCUUCUCAUCUCUUCAGCUUUCCUACCAUCUUUCUUUCUUUGAGCAGGGCAGCGUUUGCAUUGCUACCAAGGUUCUCACAACUGAUGUAUAGUAUUUUUCUACAAAGUGAAAUAGUUUUUUUUUCUACCAGGUGAAAGUACUUGCAAGAGAAGCAAACACAUGAAGAAAGUAAACACAAAAAAAGGUAGUUAGGCGAGGAUACAAUAAAGAUACAGGAACAUGGGCUAACAUGGACCAGGGCUACUUUCAUGCCAUUGCAAGAAAUCCCCUUUGCAGAUGAGCCAUGCGAUCCUUCUGGAUUACACAUAAGCUCCUGCUUUGAUUGCAACCAUUUCAGUAUCUGUCAUCAUCUGCGUGGCAGUGCAGCCUCUGUUUUUGCUUUCAUUUUUCUUUGGAGUAGAAAAACAGUGGUGAGAUAGUCCAAACAGGAAGCAACCAUGUUACAUUACACCAGUAAAAUCAUCUGCUAGUGGCUCUUGCGCAAAGCAGAUGGCAUCCUACGAGUAGAAAGCUACCCACUUCAUUUCAGUAAAUCAUUUUCAUUGAGACCAUACGC